UAUGUCAGCACUGCUAGGUGAGCACUGAUUCCACAGCGAAUGCCACAGGAGAGCAAGGAGGACACCAUGAUCCUUCACGUCCUUCUAGCACUUUCCACAAGGCUUCACCACCACACAUCCUGUAUCAUUUGCACCUGCACCCUUAGAGGGCCUGCAGCACCUGCUAGCAGGUCCCAAUUAACCAAGUGAUGGUUCAGGUGCACUCUGACAUAAAAACUGGGGAGAGAGCACACUGCCCCUCCGGCAGGAACAGCCCCUGCAGCAGGAGGUGUGGAGGACACAGGACUGCAUCCCCUACUCUCCUAUGGAAAAAGAAACAGCCUAUCGCAGCUCAACCUGGAGGAAGAAAUGUGUUGCAAGAGGACCUGCUCUGUGAUUUCAGUCGUGUUAGUGCAUAACCUAAAAGCAUCAGACUUCAUGUGGCAACAACAGCACGGCCUUGUGGAGAACUUCAUGGCUUCAUGUGGAACUUCAGAACUUCAUGUGGAGAACUUCACAGCCAAAACUUCGGUAGUGGGAACACACUGAAAAGACCAGAAAUCCUUCCCAAGUCCUUGAGAUGUGCAAAAGGGGCCUUGGAGGAGAGAAUCAACAGCUGCAUGGCAGAGGAGAUCUAGCCUGGCUUGGUGGUGGAUGGAUAAACAUGGAUCCACUGGACACACGGAAUAAGGACAGAAGUUUAUCUCCUUGUAUAACCUCCCGCUUAUAAUUACUGAGCAAAAUAACAGCAGCAAGAUAUGACAAAAGUUGAAAACGAGGGCUUGCUGCAGGGACUGCUGUGCAUUUUCUGACCCGUUCACAGGGACAGGAUUUGGUAUUAGGGCUGUGGACAUUCUGUGUUACCUUUCACAUAAGACACACAGUUGUUCAAGUCACCUUCUGCUCAUCUUCUCUAUUGCCACAGCUACCUGGCGGGCACAAGGCAGGCUUGAAUGAUUCAGAGCAGCUACCAUUUAGAGAGUGCACUCAGAACUGCUUGGAAAUAGCACUAGGAGGAGAGAGUUCUGCGCAGCAGUGAGACAUUCAGGAUGUGCAGUGACUUGCUUGAGAAUGAUACCCCGCAAUGAAACGUUCCAAGUAUGCUAGGAAUUAAAGCUGCUGAAAACAUGUGAUUCUUAGCCGUGGAGAUGUUGAGCAGGAAACUGAGCUGAGAAGAAAUGUUUCAAAGAAGUUCACUGAUGAAAUAUUUUACGGUCUGAUCACAUUGGUUAAAUGUGCCAGCAGUGGAGAAAAUCUGGAGAUGCGUGUCUUUGAUCAACAGAUUAAGGUUUUUCUCCACAUCAUCUCAAAUUAAGUCCAACUGCAGUUUUAACUUCAUUUGGGACUUCAAAUUUACAGUAGCUCCCCUUCCAUUGUAAAUUGCUUUCCCAAAAAUACUUUGUGCCUUUUCAUUUUUCAUAUUGUAUCAGUCCUUGUUUUUCUUCCUGGAUUUAAUGACAAGCCUCAUUUAUGGAAGAUAUUAAUAAAAUGGCAGCAUCUGUCUUCUUUCAGACUUGUGGAGCAUUUGUGCUGGCAGCUUUCAAGUUGUCUUAGAGCAGUCACUUGUUUAGGCUGCUGAGGACUUCCCAGACCACUGCAAUCUGCACUCCACUCUGCUUUUUCAGUGUGGUAUUACUUUUAAUUUUAUUUUUUUAAGUAAUAUAAAAAGGGAAAUUUAAUUGUGCGUCACUUUGGACAUGAGGGAGUAAAAUGUCU